UGGUAAACAACUUGAUGUACAAAAAGACGGAAGAAAACGGAAAACUAAUGCUAACGGAGAAAAGGGAGAGAAGAAUAUGGUUAAAUUGUACAAAGACGAAUGGUUCUAGCUACAGUCGACAGGGGAACAAGAGGCUGACUCAUCAACAUAAAACCACAAUGAAAACACUUCCUCAAAACAAGAGCAGCUCUUUCUUUAGAAAAUAACGUGAAGGCAACUCGUCACAUUUGAGAAACAACAGAUGCCAGGGCACAGAAACUGAGGCACGACUAACCCAUCUCACUGUAAGUUAACCUCAUGGCAGAAGAAUUAGAGCUUUCUGAGUAUUCCACCAUACAUGACCUUGGGGGAAAAAAGGUCAAAACUGGAACAAGCAGCAUCAACUCUGCUCAAUCAGAAAGAAGACUCCUGAGGAUGGGGAUUGUAACUUUAGGAGUAUUGUGUAUCUUACAAGCCAUCCUCAAUAUCUCCCUCCACCUUGCCGUUUAUUCAAAAGAGGAUAUCAAUCAGUUUCCUUGCAACACCUCUGUGAUAGAAGACAUGUGCCAGACCGAGCAAUUUCAGUCGAAUUCAACCCACUUAUGUUCCUGCUGCAACAACCUGCUGCAAAGCCUACUGAGAGAAAGAGACCUCUUGCAAGACAAAAUCAGUCAGUUUAGCAGAG